rnacentral:rRNA from 1 species
CCUACGGGCGGCUGCAGUGGGGAAUAUUGCACAAUGGGCGCAAGCCUGAUGCAGCCAUGCCGCGUGUGUGAAGAAGGCCUUCGGGUUGUAAAGCACUUUCAGCGGGGAGGAAGGCGGUGAGGUUAAUAACCUCAUCGAUUGACGUUACCCCCAGAAGAAGCACCGGCUAACUCCGUGCCAGCAGCCGCGGUAAUACGGAGGGUGCAAGCGUUAAUCGGAAUUACUGGGCGUAAAGCGCACGCAGGCGGUCUGUCAAGUCGGAUGUGAAAUCCCCGGGCUCAACCUGGGAACUGCAUUCGAAACUGGCAGGCUAGGGUCUUGUAGAGGGGGGUAGAAUUCCAGGUGUAGCGGUGAAAUGCGUAGAGAUCUGGAGGAAUACCGGUGGCGAAGGCGGCCCCCUGGACAAAGACUGACGCUCAGGUGCGAAAGCGUGGGGAGCAAACAGGAUUAGAUACCCUUGUAGUC